rnacentral:lncRNA from 1 species
CUCGUUUUCGAGAGACGUGCUUCUGGUGUGGCGGAGCGUUAUCCUGAUCGUCUUGAUACCAACGAAAUCGGGUUAGGUCAAGACAUGGUGCACCGGCGGUAAACAGGAGGCUCCAGGACACUGUGAAAGGCUCUGCACUUGGAAUGGUCAACGGGGACUGUCCAGUGUCAAGGACUUCUGCCUGAAAGCGUUGGGUGUUUGAUAUGCCGAGGAGAAUCUGGCAGAGGGAAAUGCAUGGCGGAUGCAGCUCAUCCGACAAGGACCGUGUCAUCGCCUGGAUACCAAGGCAGACUACCACGUGCUGCUUCACUAUUGGAAACCAUCGGGUACACUAGCGACACCGGAUCAUCGAUCCUUCCAAGAGGCCUGCCCACGUCCAGUCAAGCGGGAUUUGUGGUCAAGUGUUGAACUCUACCUCUGAACAUC